rnacentral:rRNA from 1 species
AUUCCAGCUCCAAUAGCGUAUACUAAAGUUGUUGCAGUUAAAAAGCUCGUAGUUGAAUUUCUGGUCUUGGACAGCGGUCUGCCUCAAACGAGGUACGCACCAUCUAUCCGAGUCCAUCCUCGGGGAAAACAUGUCUGUGAUUCAGUUCAUGGGCAUGGGAUCCUCGUCAUUUACUGUGAGCAAAAUAGAGUGUUCAAAGCAGGCUUAUGCCGUUGAAUAUUUUAGCAUGGAAUAAUAAGAUAAGACCUUGGUCUAUUUUGUUGGUUUGUACUCCAAGGUAAUGAUUAAUAGGGACAGUUGGGGGUAUUCGUAUUCAAUUGUCAGAGGUGAAAUUCUUGGAUUUAUUGAAGACGAACUACUGCGAAAGCAUUUACCAAGGAUGUUUUCAUUA